AUGAACGCUAGCGCUAGGCUUAACACCUGCAAGUCGAGGGGCAGCGAGGGUAGCAAUACCUGUCGGCGACCGGCGCACGGGUGAGUAACGCGUAUGUAACCUGCCCGCAACAGGGGGAUAACCCGGCGAAAGUCGGACUAAUACCGCAUAAAACAGGGGUCCCGCAUGGGAAUAUUUGUUAAAGAUUUAUCGGUUGCGGAUGGGCAUGCGUACCAUUAGGUAGUUGGUGAGGUAACGGCUCACCAAGCCUUCGAUGGUUAGGGGUUCUGAGAGGAAGGUCCCCCACACUGGUACUGAGACACGGACCAGACUCCUACGGGAGGCAGCAGUGAGGAAGAUUGGUCAAUGGGCGAGAGCCUGAACCAGCCAAGUCGCGUGAAGGAUGACUGCCCUAUGGGUUGUAAACUUCUUUUACAAGGGAAUAAAAUGAGAUACGUGUAUUUUAUUGCAUGUACCUUGGGAAUAAGCAUCGGCUAACUCCGUG
rnacentral:rRNA from 1 species